GACGAACCGAGCGAACGUUGUUCGGAAUCACUGGGCUUAAAGGGCGCGUAGGCGGGCUGCUAAGUUUGGGGUGAAAUCCUCCGGCUCAACCGGGGAAGGGCCUCGAAUACUGGCGGUCUGGAGGGAGGUAGGGGCGUGCGGAACUGUAGGUGGAGCGGUGAAAUGCGUUGAUAUCUACAGGAACUCCGGUGGCGAAGGCGGCACGCUGGACCUUUUCUGACGCUGAGGCGCGAAAAGCCAGGGGAGCGAACGGG
rnacentral:rRNA from 1 species